ensembl:lncRNA
UCAGGUUGGAAUAUUUUAUUCUUUCAAGGACAAUUAUGAAGUCAAGAGGACCCACUUUAACACGUCAAAACAAUGGAUUCACCACAUCAACAUAUUUUACAGUCACUGAAGUCAGAGGCAUGGUCUAGAAAUCCUCCUUUAUACGAGGAAGGCCUCACCUCCACAAUAGAAGUCGUCAACAUUGGCCAUGUACAAUAAUAGUAAUUUUAAACAGACUGCAGAAAUACCAAAUGGCCAGAUGUUACCAUUCAAGGAACCCCUUCGAAGCAGAAGCUGAGACCAGGUGGACCACUCCUGUAUUACACCAAUGGUCCAUUUAGGAAUGUUCAAAAGUAAUCAGCGAACAGAGUUGAAUCAAAGUAUGAAAAUCACUCAAAAUACUAUUCCAAAUGUUGCUUUUGGGACUUCUGUCAUACAGUCAAACAUUCACAUUAAAUUACAUAUUCAGUAAAUUAACUGUUGGUAAGAAAGAGGGAACGCCCAGUUGAAUCUCUCCAUAUGUUAAAUGGAUUGAAAUUGUACACACUUUCCUAACAGUUUCAAGUCAGUGAACUACAGAGGAUGUAUGGUGCCAUUUUGGAAAAGGGGGGUUGUAUUAAAAUGGAUGCGAGUUGAUGACAGUUGAGAGACGGUUAACUUUCAAAGGGGUCAAACUAAAUAUACUUUCAUCUGUAAAACUGAGGGACAACAGUUUCACAGCUAAUUCAUUAGAUAAAAAAAAAAAAAAUACAUAAAAACACAAAGAAAAAGGCUAACUGUUUUGAGGAAGUUAUGGAUGUUCUGCUCAAGUACCAUCGCUCCAUUAGAGUAAAUGUCAGCCUAACAGAUCAUUCAAGCUCUAAGUCCCCAAAAAACAGAAAGAAAGCAAAAAAACAAAAAAAAACAAGGAAAGGAUAGUUCUGUAGGAAAAAUUCAAAUUCUCCACACAUUUACAGGUGUUCACAGGCCUGAGGAGAUAACAGACAACAGAUGAUCACCUAAAAUCCGAUAUACCACUAUGUCAUCCACAGUUCACUCACCGUGGAGAAAGACCACUUG